rnacentral:lncRNA from 1 species
GAGUGGGGACCGCGCGGGAUGGAGGCAGUCAAGGCAUGCUGGCUGCGGCCGGCGCUGGAGGGACCCUUUAGUUCUCAGUACUCCCUGAGCGGGCGGGUUCGUUCCAUCCCGGUUGGCGAUGAAGACAUCCUUUUCUGUGUGCUCGCGGCUCCGCGCUGCGUGGCCAGGAAUGGCUAGAGGGAAAAUCUGGCCUGGAGGCUCGGAUUCUGAGACCUUCGGAGCCAGGCCGGGCGUGAGCGGGCUUGGGGGGGUUCUCUGCGUGCAAGAAUUCUAACCUCCCCAGUCACUGCUUCUAGGCCCACCCGCUGCUCUGUUCAAAUUUUAUUAUAAGAAGCAUAUUCAUUUGGCUCCUGGUUUUCCACUACCUCUUCCUCUUCCCAAAACCCAGGAACUCGAAAUACUGGAAUUCAACGCCCCCCCACCCCGGUUGAUCCAUUUAAUUCCUUGGGUCUAAAAUAGAAAUCAGGCCGCCAACUAAUAAAAAUCGGGCAGCAAAGCUAAAUGGA